rnacentral:snRNA from 1 species
AUUAAAAAGACCAAAAAAAAAUAAAAUUAGAAUGACAUAGAGAAGAUGAGCCUGGCCCCGGUGCAAGGAUGACAAGCAAAAUAGUGAAGUGUUCCGUGUUCUU